GAUGAACGCUGGCGGCGUGCCUAAUACAUGCAAGUCGAGUGAACAGACGAGGAGCUUGCUCCUCUGACGUUAGCGGCGGACGGGUGAGUAACACGUGGAUAACCUACCUAUAAGACUGGGAUAACUUCGGAAAACCGGAGCUAAUACCGGAUAAUAUAUUGAACCGCAUGGUUCAAUAGUGAAAGACGGUUUUGCUGUCACUUAUAGAUGGAUCCGCGCCGCAUUAGCUAGUUGGUAAGGUAACGGCUUACCAAGGCGACGAUGCGUAGCCGACCUGAGAGGGUGAUCGGCCACACUGGAACUGAGACACGGUCCAGACUCCUACGGGAGGCAGCAGUAGGGAAUCUUCCGCAAUGGGCGAAAGCCUGACGGAGCAACGCCGCGUGAGUGAUGAAGGUCUUCGGAUCGUAAAACUCUGUUAUUAGGGAAGAACAAAUGUGUAAGUAACUAUGCACGUCUUGACGGUACCUAAUCAGAAAGCAACGGCUAACUACGUG
rnacentral:rRNA from 1 species